AACGAACGCUGGCGGCAUGCCUAACACAUGCAAGUCGAACGAGACCUUCGGGUCUAGUGGCGCACGGGUGCGUAACGCGUGGGAACCUGCCCUUAGGUUCGGAAUAACUCCCCGAAAGGGGUGCUAAUACCGGAUAAUGUCUUCGGACCAACGAUUUAUCGCCUUUGGAUGGGCCCGCGUUGGAUUAGCUAGUUGGUAGGGUAAAAGCCUACCAAGGCGACGAUCCAUAGCUGGUCGGAGAGGAUGAUCAGCCACACUGGGACUGCGACACGGCCCAGACUCCUACGGGAGGCAGCAGUGGGGAAUAUUGGACAAUGGGCGAAAGCCUGAUCCAGCAAUGCCGCGUGAGUGAUGAAGGCCUUAGGGUUGUAAAGCUCUUUUACCCGGGAUGAUAAUGACAGUACCGGGAGAAUAAGCUCCGGCUAACUCCGUG
rnacentral:rRNA from 1 species